UAAAUGGCACCGUUUUCUGUCCUUUAUAAAAGCCAAAACAAAGCCACAAAACAACAUUCGGCCUUUAUUUAUGAAUCAAAACCCUAGCCCCCUUUUAAUCCUCUUCUUGGCCGAUCCUAAAUCCCUCCCCUUAAAUGCCAAUCCGCCACCAUAAACGGCGACUAGCAGAUUCAAGCUUCGAGGGUUGCCAUUUUCAGCCAUGAAAUUCCCUUUAAGCCUCGAUUUCAACGAAGUAAAUAGAAUCCAAUAGCAUAUUUGUAAGGUUCUAUCGCGGAGAUGACCGUAUGGAGGAAGAGGUCGUUCGUGGUGACGUGGAGGCCUGAUUCCAGGCUAGAAGGCUACGGUGCAAACUGUUUCAGAAACCCUUAGGGUUUCUGGAAUCCUUAAUUAUUAGGCCUUGAGGGUUCUUCAAAUUGGGCCACUGUAAUUGGGUUGGGUUAGGGUUUAGGGUUUUGGGAUUCAAUUUGUAUUUGGGUUAAAUGAACUGUAAAUGGACUGUUUUAAUUUUUUGGUUUUUUUUGUUAA